CCUACGGGGGGCUGCAGUGGGGAAUAUUGGACAAUGGGCGAAAGCCUGAUCCAGCCAUGCCGCGUGUGUGAAGAAGGCCUUCGGGUUGUAAAGCACUUUCAGUGGGGAAGAAAGCCUUGGGGCUAAUACCCUCGAGGAAGGACAUCACCCACAGAAGAAGCACCGGCUAACUCCGUGCCAGCAGCCGCGGUAAUACGGAGGGUGCGAGCGUUAAUCGGAAUUACUGGGCGUAAAGCGCGCGUAGGCGGUCUGAUAAGCCGGUUGUGAAAGCCCCGGGCUCAACCUGGGAACGGCAUCCGGAACUGUCAGGCUAGAGUGCAGGAGAGGAAGGUAGAAUUCCCGGUGUGGCGGUGAAAUGCGUAGAGAUCGGGAGGAAUACCAGUGGCGAAGGCGGCCUUCUGGACUGACACUGACGCUGAGGUGCGAAAGCGUGGGUAGCAAACAGGAUUAGAUACCCCAGUAGUC
rnacentral:rRNA from 1 species